CCUACGGGUGGCAGCAGUAGGGAAUAUUGCUCAAUGGGGGAAACCCUGAAGCAGCAACGCCGCGUGGAGGAUGAAGGUUUUAGGAUUGUAAACUCCUUUUGUUAGAGAAGAGGAUGACGGUACCUAACGAAUAAUCACCGGCCAACUCCGUGCCAGCAGCCGCGGUAAUACGGAGGGGGCAAGCGUUACUCGGAAUCACUGGGCGUAAAGAGUGCGUAGGCGGGGUAAUAAGUCAGAUGUGAAAACCUGUGGCUUAACUACAGAACUGCAUUUGAAACUGUUACUCUGGAGUGUGGGAGAGGUAGGUGGAAUUCUUGGUGUAGAGGUGAAAUCCGUAGAGAUCAAGAGGAAUACUCAUUGCGAAGGCGACCUGCUGGAGCAUUACUGACGCUGAUGCACGAAAGCGUGGGGAGCAAACAGGAUUAGAUACCCGGGUAGUC
rnacentral:rRNA from 1 species